rnacentral:rRNA from 1 species
GAGUUUGAUCCUGGCUCAGGAUGAACGCUGGCGGCAUGCCUAAUACAUGCAAGUCGAACGAGAGGAAGGAAAGCUUGCUUUUCUGAAUCUAGUGGCGAACGGGUGAGUAACACGUAGGUAACCUGCCCAUGUGCCCGGGAUAACUUCUGGAAACGGAUGCUAAAACCGGAUAGGUAGCAGACAAGCAUUUGACUGCUAUUAAAGUGGCCUUGGCCAUGAACAUGGAUGGACCUGCGGUGCAUUAGCUGGUUGGUGAGGUAACGGCCCACCAAGGCGACGAUGCAUAGCCGGCCUGAGAGGGCGGACGGCCACAUUGGGACUGAGACACGGCCCAAACUCCUACGGGAGGCAGCAGUAGGGAAUUUUCGUCAAUGGGGGGAACCCUGAACGAGCAAUGCCGCGUGAGUGAGGAAGGUCUUCGGAUCGUAAAGCUCUGUUGUAAGAGAAAAACGGCACUCAUAGGGAAUGAUGAGUGAGUGAUGGUAUCUUACCAGAAAGUCACGGCUAACUACGUGCCAGCAGCCGCGGUAAUACGUAGGUGGCGAGCGUUAUCCGGAAUGAUUGGGCGUAAAGGGUGCGUAGGUGGCAGAUCAAGUCUGGAGUAAAAGGUAUGGGCUCAACCCGUACUGGCUCUGGAAACUGAUCAGCUAGAGAACAGAAGAGGACGGCGGAACUCCAUGUGUAGCGGUAAAAUGCGUAGAUAUAUGGAAGAACACCGGUGGCGAAGGCGGCCGUCUGGUCUGGAUUCUGACACUGAAGCACGAAAGCGUGGGGAGCAAAUAGGAUUAGAUACCCUAGUAGUCCACGCCGUAAACGAUGAGAACUAGGUGUUGGGGGAAUAACUCAGUGCCGCAGUUAACGCAGUAAGUUCUCCGCCUGGGGAGUAUGCACGCAAGUGUGAAACUCAAAGGAAUUGACGGGGGCCCGCACAAGCGGUGGAG